rnacentral:lncRNA from 1 species
AGAAUUGCUUCUAAAGUCAGCCCGGCGCAGUUGCAAUAGACAGCAAAAAGGUAAACGUUUGCCUGAAAUCCGCACGCCAGCUUCACCACCCCGCCCGAUGGUUCUGUAACAAUCAAGAACACGUGGACACCUACCUGUGGGAGGAGGCUUGGGGGAAACACUGUUUCUGGUUGCUGCUGAAGCCAGCAUUCUGGAGAUGGACAGCUGCUCAAGGAAAUGAAGGGAGAUUUUGUAAAUUGCAGAUUCUAAGCAGGAAGACUCAACCAAGAAUACAUGCUUAGAAGAAAACUGUUUCAAGCAUCCCCAUUUACGUGGAUGUAUCUGCACAGUCCUCCCUUUCCACAAACACCAACACUGAAGCCCCGAUGCUGGGAGGCUCUGAAUUAAGACCCUGGAGAAGAACUGCCAAGGGGAUUUACUUUUAAGGAAGCCCAUGAUCCUAUAAGAGUGAUCAUCAGUGUAAAUCAAAUCAAACGACUUGGAUGCUCUCUCCGGCUCUCAAUCUCCAACACCCAGAAGAGGUGUCAUAUGGCGGUUUUUUCCUCUGCACCACAUCUUCCAACUAUGAUGUCUAUCAUCAAAAAGUCCAGAGCAAUGAGACAGAUACCACCAUAACUGACUGGUCCUGUUUGCUCCAUCUUAACAUUGUUGGUUAACAGUGGACUCUGACUUUCAUGAGGAUGACUGGACAUCCACUGGGACUCCAGGAGGCUGCCCUUCGCUGCUUUGACUUUGUUCUGUCAGACUUGAUAAGAUUUUGACUUCCUGUUAAAACCUGCCAUCGGGUGUUCAGCAGGAGAGUGAGAGAGUGUCAAGCACACUGUACCAGCAUCAGAGGCUGAGCCUGCCAGCAGAGCUGACUCUGAUGGACACGUGCUUCCUAGGGCUCCUGAUGCAGCUGCUAUCUGCAGACCUCCUGGACUGCCCGGGGAAGGGAGUGGGAGCUCCUGCCACAGAUGGGUGGAACAUCGACAAGAAGGGCUAAAGGUGGCCAAAAAUAACAGUGCCUUCCAGAUGAGGUGACCUCAGAGCCAAGAGCAUCAUGGGGUAGAGUAUCUUGUUCCCAGUUUUAUGACCUAAAAAGUACACAGAAGAUGCAAAGAUACUACAGAGAGAAGGAACAAAGUCUGCAGAGAACAGGGAAAGGCGAUUACGUAUCAUAUUUUUUUAAAUAGGAUUUUGUUGUACAUGACCACAAAAGAAAACACAGCCUUUUAUACAUGUUUGAAGAGAGAGCUAGAGCUAUAGAUAGAAAAAUGAUAGAUAGAUUAAUAGAUAGAUGGUCAAUAGAUAGAUGAUCAAUAGAUAGAUAAGUAGGUAGGUAGAUAGAUGAUAGACAGAACCAAACACAAUAGAAGACCAAAAGGAGAAAAAGAUAGAGAUGAUAUUGCCUUCCUUUGUUUGCUAUUGAAACAAACUUAAUAAAUCCUCAUUGAGACUCAA